GAGUGUUAUUAUUGAAAAUCAUGAAUUUCGCUGCCCUACGAAUAGUGUAAAUAAGCUAUUUCUAGCGAGGUGCAUUUUCUCAAUGGUGAUUGUAAAUUGUUGUGCAUUUAUUUUACGUUAAAUGGGUUAUUUUAUUGUAGGUGAGAAUUGUUGAUUUGAUUACUUAAUAAUAAUAUACUAAAGACAAAACAAGUCACCACAUAAUGAUUACCUUGUCUGUUAUAUGUUAACAGUAAACUUUGGUUAACAGUUAUUCAUAAUGACUACUUUUAGGCUUACCAAACUCAUCGGCUGAUUAUAAUGCAUUUAUCAUUUCCAUAAUCUCUGUAUCCAAAUGGUGAUUACUGGAUGAUAUCUAGAUGGUGAUGAUGAUGAUGAUAGACAUAAUUGGAUUAUUAUAGCUGUUAUACAUUUAUACCGUCUUUAACCAUGGUCAUAUUGGUAUCAACUUACAUGUGACACUUAAAGGACGCCGAACAAGGAGAAGAAAGAUGCUGAAGAGGUUAACCAGGGAUAAAUAAUUUAUGUAUUAUAUAAACAAUCUUGAACUGAGCUCGAGGGUUUUUCAUUUGGAUUUACACUUCGUUUUUGAGGUGGUUUUUCACUGAUAAUAGUGACUAUAUAAAUAUAACGACUACUCUUGAGGGAAUUCCUUUUUAUGUUGAUACAACACUUUGUUGUUGUGAUACAAUUGGUCUUAAGAAAAUUAAUGUACAAGGAGAUUGAGAAUAGGACAAGAUGAUUGUUAUAAACGUAUCAGUAUCACCUUCAUAUCAUUCGAUAUCAUUGUAAAUGUUGUUUCAAUUGUUUGAUGAAGUACAAGUUGAGAGGAAAGAAAUUUAUUAAACAUUUCAGCAUAUAAUUGAUUUGUGUUUGGGUUUAUUUGCUGUUCAUUGAUUGUUAACUAAUCAAAUUAACACUCAAUUUUAUAAAUUAUUUCUAUUUUUGCAAUCUUUCAUAUUUACAUAAUUUUAAAUUCUAAAUUUCAUUUGCCAUUUCAGUGAGUGGUCGAAGUAUUCAAAUGCAUCUGAGAUGAAGUCACUAAACCAUUUACUAAUAGCUCCAUGAUUGAGAUGGUCGGAUUGAAUGGAAUCUAGGAUAAGAUUAAUGUCUGGUUGUGAUCAAAGUUGAUUCAAUCACAACUGAAUGUGAUAUUAUGAGACUGGAUCCAAACAUAUUGAUAUUCAAGAGGAAAGCAAAACAACGACACAAUAUUAACGCAGGGCAAUUUUUCCCUUUCCUAUGUCAAUUGGUCUUUGCUCACUUGACCUUAACCCUGUUUCAUUGACUUGAUAAGUUAAAGAACCUGCCAAGAAGAAGAUAAUGAUGAUAAGUUGGCGAUACCGGGUUAGAGGAAUGGAUAUUAAAGGAAAAACGAUGCAGAAGAGAUCGCAAGCUAACAAAGUGACAGUUAUUUUUCAGAUCAUCUUUAUCAUUUGUUACAAAAAGUACAAAAAUCAGGAGAGAGAGAGAGAGAGAAAUACCAAGAAAAAAGUGAUGAUUAUGGCGAGGGAAGACGAGAAGAAAUAUCUGAGUAACUCCCCUUUUCAAUCGGUCAAUGUCUUUCUUUCCUCAAACUGGACUACAUACAAAAGUCCAUCCUCACAAUUCAUCAUCAUCUUGUUGUUGCAGUUUCUGGACAAAAGGUUGAAUCUAACUUUACCCUACUCUACUCACUCAGACCCAUUUACUCACACUAGUGGGAUGUGAAUAUACCUUUCAAAGUGAAAUAUUCACCUCCACUCAGGGGGUAACUCAAGAUCCCAGGGCAACAACCAAGGUCACACAAUACAAGACAAUGUUAAUAAUAAUACAACAUACUAAAGCCCUGAGAUGUUGAGACAGCGAAAACAUGAAAUAAAUACAAAACUCCUGAAUAAAUGUAUUUAUACAUGUACAUCUAUCUAUCUUUGUACAUCUCUACACCUCCCACUUCAUCUUUUUUUACCUUUACUGAAAGAUCAUCUAUCUAUCUUUCCAUCUCUUCUCUUUCUCAUUCACCAUCUCUUGCUAAUUUUGUUGUUUGCAGUUUAAAUAUAAUCAACAUUAACCCAUUGAGGACAAAAGGCUAAGCACAGGAAAUUUUUCACUAAGAGAUUUUGUCAGUUAACAAAAUGCCCAAUUAUUAAUGUCAAUGCAAGUUUAUGCAAAUGCUAAUUAUCUGUAUGAUCAAUAAGGUACAUAACUUGCUCUAUGAGUUACUCCAAAUGAAUGAAAAUGUGAAACUUGAGCUGUUUCUCCAACUCUUAAUUUAUUCAAAGACAUUAUAUUGCACUGUCAAUCGAUUAAUGUUUUUUCAGCCAAUUUUGAUUGUCACUU